UCUCCAGAAUAGCUCCAAGAAUUGCAACUUUUCUCCUAUUGCUUGAGGAUGAGGCAAUAGCAGAAAAUCAAAUAUUCCACAGGGAGCCUGGAAAUGAGACCCAUUUGCAGAGGCACAAAAUAGAACUACUUUUGUUGGAGUGUCUCUUGCAGAAGGGUCCACUUAUUAGGAUCAGAGAAAGGAUGAAUGGCUUUUGAGGGCAAUCAUUAUUUUAUGAUCAGCGACAUUUGUGAAAAUUAUGAGCAUAUUUUUGUGACAAAUUUGCAGGGACAAGGAUGUAUAUAGUACUUGAUUCAUUCUAAUUCCUUACAGGUGCAAAAGUAAUUGUAUAUAGAUGAUACUCUCUUAUGCUUAAAUAUUUUAUUAUUUUUUUAUAAUAUAAUUAUAAUAUGAUUGCAUGGCUA